UGUAGCUCAGUGGUAGAGCACUUCCCUGGCAUGUAUGAGGCUCCUGGGUUCCAUUCCCAGCA
rnacentral:tRNA from 1 species